AACGAACGCUGGCGGCGUGCCUAACACAUGCAAGUCGAACGGAAUUUGAGAGCUUGCUCUUAAAUUUAGUGGCGCACGGGUGAGUAACGCGUAGAUAAUCUGCCUGACGAUCUGGGAUAACACUUCGAAAGAGGUGCUAAUACCGGAUAAGCCCACGGAGUCUUUGGAUUCUGCGGGAAAAGGGGGGGACCUUCGGGCCUUCUGUCGUCAGAUGAGUCUGCGUACCAUUAGCUAGUUGGUAGGGUAAUGGCCUACCAAGGCGAGGAUGGUUAGCUGGUCGGAGAGGAGGAUCAGCCACACUGGAACUGAGACAUGGUCCAGACUCCUACGGGAGGCAGCAGUGGGGAAUUUUGCGCAAUGGGCGAAAGCCGGACGCAGCAACGCCGCGUGAGUGAUGAAGGCUUUCGGGUCGUAAAGCUCUGUCGAGGGGAAAGAAGUGUACUUUGGCUAAUAUCCAUUGUACUUGACGGUACCCCUAAAGGAAGCACCGGCUAACUCCGUGCCAGCAGCCGCCGUAACAC
rnacentral:rRNA from 1 species